UAAAAUCAUUUCAUAAAUUACAAAAAUUGAGUCCGACUCAAUUUUUAUUGGUCAUGUGGCCCGAUCGAUAAAACGGCUCAUAUUUCAAUAUGGUUUCGAUUUUAUUAAAAGAGAUGCAAUUGACAAAAAUUAUAUAACAUUAAUAGAAUGUAAUUAUAAAUAGAGAAUAAUUGAAUUUUUUUUUAAUAUUUUUUUUAAAAAAAGUUUCAUCUCACAAUCAUAUAUUUGAUCACAUCAUCUUGAAAAUAUAUUUUCGUCCUCUUUUUCCUUUCUUUU
rnacentral:lncRNA from 1 species